UCCGCCUCGACGUCCCCCUGACCCCACCGGCGCUGGCGUGCGUGCCGGAAUCGCCGCUGCCUCUGGCUCCGCAGACGACUAUGAGAGGGAGGCUACAUCUUCCCAGGUAUGUGUGUGCAAAAUAUAUAUUUGUGCAAGCUCAUGUAUGUGCUGUUUUUGCUUUUUGAAAGUCAAAUUUAUGUGUGCCCAAGCUCAUAUGUGCUGUUUUUGUAUCCAAAUGUCAAAUAUAUGUUUGUGCAAGCUCAUGUGUGUGCUUUUUUUGGUGUCCAAAUCUCAAAUAUAUGUUUGUGCAAGCUCAUGUGUGUGCUGUUUUUGCUAUCCAAAAGUCAAAUAUAUGUGUGUCCAAGCUCAUGUGUGUGUUGUUGUUGUGUGCUAGGCAAUGGAGCAUGAUAAGCAAGUGGAGGAGGAUCAUGAAGAUGUGGAAGAGGAUGAGGAGGAGGACGAGGAAGAGCAAGAUACUUUGUUUGAGAUGCCGUCUGGGGUUGGUGACAAAUCAGAUUUAGAUGAAUUUCCGGAUAGUGAAAAUUUCUUUGUUUCGCUGUCAAUAUUUGAUGUUUUGCUGUGUAAAGUUCAAAGGAUGUGCUGUCCAAAAUUCAAUAGAAAUGCUACCCAAUUCUUUC
rnacentral:lncRNA from 1 species